UGAGCAAUGGUAAUUUCCUAUUGUUCUUUGCGUACAAGUUCCUGUGUUGUUGCAGUGUCUGCUUCUACUUGAUUCAGUCCAGCUUAAACAUGAGCUUUUUGAUAUUCAUUUUGCUAUCCAUUCCUUUCGUAAUAAAAGGUAAGUUUUUAUUAUGUACCUGUUGUACACCUUAUGAUGCAUUUUGGGGCUACACAUGCAUCUUUAUUUUUUUUCAGGUGACUGUGAAACUAGCAUAGCCAUAUCUGGAGAGCAGAAUUUAUGUUCUGGUCAGAACUUUACCCUCACAUGCCACUUUAUAGGUUGCUCUGGACCACUGAACCAUGUACAGAUGUUUAAAGAUGGACACUGUUUAUCAAGUGAAGAGUCUUCAAAUCGUAUUAUGAUACUUUCCAUACAUGUUCACAGUGCAAAUGAGAGUCAUUCAGGAGAGUAUAGAUGCAAAUCAAAAACCUAUCUUAGCCCUAUUCAUAUAACAGUGAAGGACUGUGGUGUUUCUACAGAAUAUUUAUUCACUGCAAAUGCAACAUCAUCAUCCCCUUUGAUCAAUACCACAUGCCAAACUUCAACAUCAUCAGGGGUCUUGAAGCAAGUACUGAUAUGGUACAUACUGUUCAAGACAGGAGUGUUUCUUAUUGGAUUCAUAACAGUUAUGUUAUUAAUGUAUACAUAACAGUAUGUUUAUUGGAAGUGCUG